UGUUCUCAAAAUAUCAAAUUUCAAUCCGUUUCAAUCCGGCUCAAAGAAGGACCAUGUUUCAUAUUGAAUAUCCUAGAUCAGGAUUCGAAGAUGUGUAUAACAAUAACCAUUUAAUAUAAUCAUAAAUAUGUACAAAACUUAGUCAGUAUUCCAAAUAUAAAGCGAAUAAACUGUUUUGCUUAUUACAAACUCACGCCAUCUUGAACAACAUCAAAAGUCACGUGAUAAUCUACUGUCCAGUUAUAUAUGCAGUUCAGUGUUUCAAUAUAUAAAUCUAACAUAAAGUAUAGCACAUAUAUUACAGGGACGUCUGUUUGUAAGAAUAACAUUACCGCAUUUACAACAAGAAACUUUAUCCCUAUUCAUUAGAAUAUCUUUGUUUCAUAUUAAUUUUGACAAAAACUCAUUUCCACUUCUCCGUUUUCUAGAUACUUGGAUUGGUUCUAUAAAAGUAAAAAUAUUUGGAAAAUAGUCAAUUUU